ACACAUGCAAGUCGAGGGGAAACGGCAUCAAGCGCUUGCGCCUGAUGGACGUCGACCGGCGCACGGGUGAGUAACGCGUAUCCAACCUGCCCCACACUAAGGGAUAACCCGCAGAAAUGUGGACUAAUACCUUAUAUUUUCCACCAAGGGCAUCGUCGAUGGAACAAAGAUUUAUCGGUAUGGGAUGGGGAUGCGUCCGAUUAGGUUGUUGGCGGGGUAACGGCCCACCAAGCCUUCGAUCGGUAGGGGUUCUGAGAGGAAGGUCCCCCACAUAGGAACUGAGACACGGUCCUAACUCCUACGGGAGGCAGCAGUGAGGAAUAUUGGUCAAUGGGCGUGAGCCUGAACCAGCCAAGUAGCGUGCAGGAAGACGGCCCUAUGGGUUGUAAACUGCUUUUAUGCGGGGAUAAAGGAGUCCACGUGUGGAUUUUUGCAGGUACCGCAUGAAUAAGGACCGGCUAAUUCCGUGCCAGCAGCCGCGGUAAUACGGAAGGUCCGGGCGUUAUCCGGAUUUAUUGGGUUUAAAGGGAGCGUAGGCCGCGUUUUAAGCGUGUUGUGAAAUGUAGACGCCCAACGUCUGCAUCGCAGCGCGAACUGGGACGCUUGAGUACGCGCAACGUUGGCGGAAUUCGUCGUGUAGCGGUGAAAUGCUUAGAUAUGACGAGGAACUCCGAUUGCGAAGGCAGCUGACGGGAGCGGCACUGACGCUUAAGCUCGAAGGUGCGGGUAUCAAACAGGAUUAGAUACCCUGGUAGUCCGCACAGUAAACGAUGGAUGCCCGCUGUGUGCCAUUUAUGGUACGCGGCUAAGCGAAAGCGUUAAGCAUCCCACCUGGGGAGUACGCCGGCAACGGUGAAACUCAAAGGAAUUGACGGGGGCCCGCACAAGCGG
rnacentral:rRNA from 1 species